UGGGUAGUGUUAGACUUGUUCCCUUGAGGAAUUUCGAAUAAUGUAUAACAUUUGUGGUUGUUUUGAACAUGAAAAAUUGAUAUGUUGUGGUUGUUGUUUUGGGUGUUGAAAGACCCUAAGGUUGGAGGAAACGACGGAGAGCUUGACAAAGCUACUUAGUGCAACACAUUAGCUGACAUUCAGGUGAAGCGAUAGAAUAAGAAUUUUCAGAAUUUUGGGAGUGAACCUAGCUUUGCUUGGAUUAAUUCUGUGGCUACCUGUCUUGCCUUAUGUUUUGUUAAUUAUUGACAUUAGUCCCAUGUGUGGGAGUUUGUUGUAUUGAUACUAAGUUCACUAACAAAUUUUCAUGUGGGAUACAAUGUAUGGAUAAACCCCUUUUGUUUUAUUGAAUCUCAUCCCCGUGGAUAAGAUGAUUUUUGAGUAAUUAUUGACCAAAUAUACAUUGUUGAAUUAUAUUAGGUGAUGAAUCAUUAAAGGUGUGUUGGGAAAAUAAUUUAUAUAUUUUCAAAAAAAUAAAUUAUAGUUUGAGAAUUUAUGUUUUGGAAAAUUUAAAUAAAUUUCGUGAUAAUAAAUCGGGUCGUUACAAUUAUGGUAUCAGAGCGGAGGUUAACCUUACAGCCUAGGUUCUGA